CACUGUCCUCUUGGAAGCAGUCACCAAAUAACGUAAACUCAUUAACAAGAGAUCCAGAAGAAAUGAUGAAUAUGAAGUUUAUCUUCACUUCACUUCUAGUACUGGCCCUUCCAGGGCCGAGAAGAGCAGACUGGAUCAGAUCCCAGGAGACAGAAGUGUCUGGAGCAGAGGGGAAGACUGUGAGCCUCUUUUGUAAUUAUCAUACUUCAUCUACAAGCUUCGUUAGUCUCCUCUGGUAUCGACAGUAUCCAAAUCAGGCGCCAGAAUAUAUUCUCUACAGACAUUGGGGGUCCUCUGGAAAAGGAUAUGCCAGUUUUGCCACAGAACGGUUUUACUCAGAUAAUACAGCCAACACAACAAAUUUGUACAUCAAGAAGGUGGUGCCUGCAGACACGGCCCUGUACCUCUGUGCCCUGGAGAGGCACAAAGAGAAUACUGCAUAG